GACGAACCGUGCGAACGUUGUUCGGAAUCACUGGGCUUAAAGGGCGCGUAGGCGGCUUGCCAAGUCAGGGGUGAAAUACUUCAGCUUAACUGGAGAAGUGCCCUUGAUACUGGCGGGCUCGAGGGAGGUAGGGGCAUGUGGAACUUCUGGUGGAGCGGUGAAAUGCGUAGAGAUCCGGAGGAACACCAGUGGCGAAGGCGACACGCUGGGCCGUACCUGACACUGAUGCGCGACAGCAUGGGGAGCAAACAGG
rnacentral:rRNA from 1 species